CAUAUGUUCUUGGUGGAUAUGAAAUGGAAGUUGUUUUUGCUUUUGAUGCUAGGAAACGACAUUCAGCAAGGAAAAGUGGUUGAACAAAGAAGGUUAAAGCUCAUGUUACAGGAGCGGAGGCAAAGGCAAAGAUAAAAAUACUAGAUGCAAUUAAAAAGCAAAGAAAUGAAGAGGCAGUAAGAUGAGGAUGGUUUAGAAUUACUAAAAAUAAAUUUGGAGAGACUUCAAGUGCAUUUAACUUCUAGGGGAAAUUGCAAACUCUAUCGCUUCUAGCUUCGAAAUUUUCCUUUCAGUAGUUUUAGCUUGAUUUUUUUGUUUCUAGGGGAUCUAACUUCUUAUCAUCAGGCUUACGUAAUCGCUUUAGAUGAUGUAUCAAUUUUUCAUAUUUCAUUAUGUUUAAUUAAUUUGAUAAAAUGCACCUUAGUUAAGUAAGGAAGUGGUAAAUCACAAAUUGAUAUCCAAUAGUUUUUAUUGUAUAUGGCAGCUCUUUUGUCUGGUGUUGCCCCAUGAACAUACUACUUUGCUACAGCCAAAAUCAAUCUGGAGGGCGGAAGAAACUCAUGAGACCUCAUUAUUGGAACGUAUACUGCAUUUGGAUCCACUUGAAGUGAACUUAUUCCGCAGAAUCACAUUGCCAGAUACGCCAAGGACUAGAAAGGUUUUUGGAGGAUAAUUGACUGGAUGGGGAAAAUCGGUUCGCUGGUUUUUCAGGGAAUUG